rnacentral:rRNA from 1 species
AGUGAACGCUGGCGGUAGGCCUAACACAUGCAAGUCGAACGGCAGCACAGUAAGAGCUUGCUCUUACGGGUGGCGAGUGGCGGACGGGUGAGGAAUACAUCGGAAUCUACUUUUUCGUGGGGGAUAACGUAGGGAAACUUACGCUAAUACCGCACACGACCUACGGGUGAAAGCAGGGGAUCUUCGGACCUUGCGCGAUUGAAUGAGCCGAUGUCGGAUUAGCUAGUUGGCGGGGUAAAGGCCCACCAAGGCGACGAUCCGUAGCUGGUCUGAGAGGAUGAUCAGCCACACUGGAACUGAGACACGGUCCAGACUCCUACGGGAGGCAGCAGUGGGGAAUAUUGGACAAUUGGCGCAAGCCUGAUCCAGCCAUACCGCGUGGGUGAAGAAGGCCUUCGGGUUGUAAAGCCCUUUUGUUGGGAAAGAAAAGCAGCAGGUUAAUACCCCGCUGUUCUGACGGUACCCAAAGAAUAAGCACCGGCUAACUUCGUG